rnacentral:rRNA from 1 species
AUUGAACGCUGGCGGCAGGCCUAACACAUGCAAGUCGAGCGGAUGAAGGGAGCUUGCUCCUGGAUUCAGCGGCGGACGGGUGAGUAAUACCUAGGAAUCUGCCUGGUAGUGGGGGAUAACGACCGGAAACGGGCGCUAAUACCGCAUACGUCCUGAGGGAGAAAGUGGGGGAUCUUCGGACCUCACGCUAUCAGAUGAGCCUAGGUCGGAUUAGCUAGUUGGUGGGGUAAAGGCCUACCAAGGCGACGAUCCGUAACUGGUCUGAGAGGAUGAUCAGUCACACUGGAACUGAGACACGGUCCAGACUCCUACGGGAGGCAGCAGUGGGGAAUAUUGGACAAUGGGCGAAAGCCUGAUCCAGCCAUGCCGCGUGUGUGAAGAAGGUCUUCGGAUUGUAAAGCACUUUAAGUUGGGAGGAAGGGCAGUAAGUUAAUACCUUGCUGUUUUGACGUUACCAACAGAAUAAGCACCGGCUAACUUCGUG